rnacentral:rRNA from 1 species
CCUACGGGAGGCAGCAGUGGGGAAUAUUGCGCAAUGGGCGAAAGCCUGACGCAGCGACGCCGCGUGAGGGAUGAAGGUCUUCGGAUCGUAAACCUCUGUCAGCAGGGAAGAACGGUCACUGUGCUAAUCAGCAGUGAAUUGACGGUACCUGCAAAGGAAGCACCGGCUAACUCCGUGCCAGCAGCCGCGGUAAUACGGAGGGGGCGAGCGUUAAUCGGAAUUACUGGGCGUAAAGCGCUCGUAGGCGGUAUGGCAAGUCAAGGGUGAAAUCCCCGCGCUCAACGUGGGAACUGCCUUUGAAACUGGCAGACUGGAGUGUGUGAGAGGAUAGUGGAAUUCCAGGUGUAGGAGUGAAAUCCGUAGAUAUCUGGAGGAACAUCAGUGGCGAAGGCGACUAUCUGGCACAUAACUGACGCUGAGGAGCGAAAGCGUGGGUAGCAAACAGGAUUAGAUACCCCGGUAGUC